GGGAAUAUUGCACAAUGGGGGAAACCCUGAUGCAGCGACGCCGCGUGAGUGAAGAAGUAUUUCGGUAUGUAAAGCUCUAUCAGCAGGGAAGAAAAUGACGGUACCUGACUAAGAAGCCCCGGCUAACUACGUGCCAGCAGCCGCGGUAAUACGUAGGGGGCAAGCGUUAUCCGGAUUUACUGGGUGUAAAGGGAGCGUAGACGGCAGUGCAAGCCUGGAGUGAAAGGAUGGGGCCCAACCCCAUGACUGCUCUGGGAACUGUACAGCUAGAGUGCCGGAGGGGUAAGCGGAAUUCCUAGUGUAGCGGUGAAAUGCGUAGAUAUUAGGAGGAACACCAGUGGCGAAGGCGGCUUACUGGACGGUAACUGACGUUGAGGCUCGAAAGCGUGGGGAGCAAACA
rnacentral:rRNA from 1 species